CGGCCGCUGCGGGCCACUCGGGGACAGGCCGUCGCCGUGGCCGCUCUCCGCCCCCGCCACGGCACUUGCUGCGGUGGCCGCCGCCGCAGGAAGCUCGACAGCGGCGCCGCGGCGCUUCCAGGUCCCUUCUCAAAGGUCGGUAUCUUGGCAGACCUCUCUAUCCAAAAGAACACACUUGCACCACCGCUCUUACCCUCUACCUGCUUAUAUUUCUUCGUGACAGUUAUCAUCACUUCCAGAUUUUACUUGUCUGUCCCCUGCCACCAAGAAUCAAGAAUGUGAGAUCCUUAAAGGCAGGGGCUUUGUAACCUUUGCUCAUUGCGGUAGCCCCAGACCUGUGUCUGGCACAAGGCAGUGUUUAAUAAAUACUCUCUUAAAACAUAUCAAUGAACUAGAUUGAGUAUGUGGGAAAAUAAAGCCCAACACACACUGAUGGAGGUAAGUACUUCCUUUGGGUUGAUAGUUCCGUUCACAACCUCACCAUAUGAGCUGUGGAAACAGGGAGCUAAAUCGCCUUCCCUGUCUAUAAUUUGAAGAUUCUCUUCCAAAAAUAUAAAAUCCAGUCGUAGUAGCCAUUUUAACUGGAGCUCUUCUGCGGUUGUCAAAUACUGCUUCAUUGUUUUUGCUUUCCUUGUCUUUGGAACUUUUUUUCAGGCAAAUGGAUAUAUGUGCCUCCUUUAAUUUUGCUAAUAAAAGUUAUUAAAUGGCUGAAA